UGCGAGAGUGGUGGAACGGCAGACACGCCAGACUUAGGAUCUGGUGCCUUCAGGCGUAAGGGUUCAAGUCCCUUCUCUCGCAG
rnacentral:tRNA from 1 species